rnacentral:rRNA from 1 species
UUUCGCAGCGGAUACUGGCAAGCUACAGUGCAGAAGAGGCGGGGGGAAUUCCCAGUGUAUCGGUGAAAUGCGUAAAUAUUGGGAGGAACACCGGUGGCGUAAGCGCCUUGCUGGGCUGUUACUGACGCUGAGGAACGAAAGCCGGGGGAGCGAAUGGGAUUAGAUACCCCGGUAGUCCCGGCCGUAAACUAUGGAUGCUAGGUGUUGUUGGUAUCGACCCCUGCAGUGCCGCUUCUAACGCGAUAGGUAUCCCGCCUGGGGAGUACGCACGCAAGUGUGAAACUCAGAGGAAUUGACGGGGGCCCGCACUAGCGGUGGAACAUGUGGUUUAGCUCAUUGCAUCGCUUAGAGCCUUACUAGGGCUUGACGUCUACAGAAUCUUGCAGAAACGCUGCAGUGCCUUUUCGGGGAACUGUAAUACUGGUGUUGCACGGUUGUCCCCAGCUCGUGUCGUGAGAUUUUGGGGUUAAGUCCCACAGCGAGCGCAACCCUUUGUUGUUAGUUGCGGGGCAAGAGAAUGCUCUUGUCGAGCUCUCUAAACCAAAUCUGCUGGCGAUAAACCGGGAAGUAGGGUGGCGGCACUGCGUACCCUUUUUUUUACACACCUUUUGGCCUCUGGGCUUACCACACGGUGUUAACAAUUGGGUGGGACCAGCGAAGCAAGCAAGGCCCGGGCCAACGGGCAAAGCAAAAUUCUCUUAAAACCCAAUUCCCUCAGGUUCCGGAAU